GGGCUAUUAGCUCAGCUUGGUUAGAGCACACCCCUGAUAAGGGUGAGGCCACUGGUUCGAGUCCAGUAUAGCCCA
rnacentral:tRNA from 3 species